rnacentral:rRNA from 1 species
AUUGAACGCUGGCGGCAGGCCUAACACAUGCAAGUCGAACGAGUGGCGGACGGGUGAGUAAUGUCUGGGAAACUGCCUGAUGGAGGGGGAUAACUACUGGAAACGGUAGCUAAUACCGCAUACCAUCGGAUGUGCCCAGAUUGGAUUAGCUCGUAGGUGGGGUAACGGCUCACCUAGGCGACGAUCCCUAGCUGGUCUGAGAGGAUGACGAGCCACAAGGGAAAUGAGACACGUGCCAGACUCAUACGGGAGGCAGCAGGGGGGAAUAUUGCACAAUGGGCGCAAGCCUGAUGCAGCCAUGCCGCGUGUAUGAAGAAGGCCUUCGGGUUGUAAAGUACUUUCAGCGGGGAGGCGUUACCCGCAGAAGAAGCACCGGCUAACUCCGUGCCAGCAGCCGCGGUAAUAC